rnacentral:lncRNA from 1 species
CCUGGAGAAGCCUGGCAUCCCCAGUGCAUUGGUCUAAGACAGCUCAGCAGGGAGCAAGGCAAUGGCUUACUGCGAAUCAAGCAGGACAAAACAACCAGGAGGAUCCCCAGAGACACUACACGCAGGGUGAUGAUGUCCAGGGUAGAAAGAGAGUUAUAGGAAGGGUGCUGCUCAGGUCACUCCUCACUAUCAAGCAUGCCUUUUUGUACCUUCAGCAGGCCCGCAGCAGUCCGUUCUCUCCCAGGAGGCAGCAGUGUUAUACCUAGUGCCAAAGUCCUACUCCUAGCUUUUCUUCAGCUCAUUGAAUUAGAGGAAGAGGAAGAAGCUUUUUCUCCUCGGAAAAAAUGAGAGCAUUUGGAGUCAAACUCUUACUGGUUCCCGGGUCACGAUGAGAAGCUAAGAGCAGAAACCAAAAUGAAAGACUCUCAGCAAGGUAAAUUUUGGUCUCCAGGGGAAGGUGGGAGGCAGGAGCUGUAUGGGAGACUCAUGUCUGCGUGGCUGUUUGGCUUCUCAUGCCCAUUU